ensembl:miRNA
UCUGUUUCCUCAUGUAUCUGUUGGGAAGCUAACUGUCACCUUAGCGUUCCAGCCGAUAAAUGAGGAAGCAGA